rnacentral:rRNA from 1 species
AGUCAAUAGAUACCCCGGUAGUCCACGCCGUAAACGAUGAGUACUAGGUGUAGGAGGUAUCGACUCCUUCUGUGCCGCAGUUAAACACAAUAAGUACUCCGCCUGGGAAGUACGGUCGCAAGAUUAAAACUCAAAGGAAUUGACGGGGGCCCGCACAAGCAGCGGAGCAUGUGGUUUAAUUCGAAGCAACGCGAAGAACCUUACCUAGACUCGACAUCCCCUGAAUAACGUAGGGAUACGCGAAGCCCUUCGGGGCGAGGGAGACAGGUGGUGCAUGGUUGUCGUCAGCUCGUGUCGUGAGAUGUUGGGUUAAGUCCCGCAACGAGCGCAACCCUUAUCAUUAGUUGCUACCAUUUAGUUGAGCACUCUAGUGAGACUGCCCGGGUU